CAAAUUAGAGCUUGAAUAAAAGUAUUUCAUUUACAUUGAAAUGAUAUUAUAUAUUAUAUAUUAUAAUUAAUUUGA
rnacentral:tRNA from 1 species